ACUAGAGUGAGAUAGAGGCAAGCGGAAUUCCAUGUGUAGCGGUAAAAUGCGUAAAUAUAUGGAGGAACACCAGAGGCGUAGGCGGCUUGCUGGGUCUUUACUGACGCUGAGGCACGAAAGCGUGGGGAGCAAACAGGAUUAGAUACCCUGGUAGUCCACGCCGUAAACGAUGAGUACUAAGUGUCGGGUAAAACUGGUACUGAAGUUAACACAUUAAGUACUCCGCCUGAGUAGUACGUACGCAAGUAUGAAACUUAAAGGAAUUGACGGGACUCCGCACAAGCGGUGGAUCAUGUUGUUUAAUUCGAAGAUACACGAAAAACCUUACCAGGUCUUGACAUUUUCUUGCGAAGUUAUAGAAAUAUAAUGGAGGUUAUCAGGAAAACAGGUGGUGCAUGGUUGUCGUCAGCUCGUGUCGUGAGAUGUUAGGUUAAGUCCUAAAACGAGCGCAACCCUUGUCGUUAAUUGCCAGCAUGUAAUGAUGGGGACUUUAACGAGACUGCCAAUGAAAAAUUGGAGGAAGGUGGGGAUUACGUCAAAUCAUCAUGCCCCUUAUGAUCUGGGCUACAAACGUGAUACAAUGGUUGAUACAAAGAGUAGCUGAAACGCGAGUUCUUAACCAAUCUCAAAAAAUCAAUCUCAGUUCGGAUUGAAGUCUGCAACUCGACUUCACGAAGUUGGAAU
rnacentral:rRNA from 1 species